ensembl:snoRNA SNORA71 Small nucleolar RNA SNORA71
CCCUGUAUUCGAAAGUGAUUGUGGGCUGACUGUGCCCCGGUCAUUGAUAGUGCAGGGAGAGAAAUAUUGAAAGAUGUUUUCCCCGUGUUUGGAGGGUCCAUCUGUCCCUUCUGAACCCUGGAGCUUUCCCACA